ACCCACGAGCGUUGAAAAGCUCGGGGAUGACUUGUGGGUAGCGGUGAAAUUCCAAUCGAGCCCGGAGAUAGCUGGUUCUCCCCGAAAUAGCUUUAGGGCUAGCCUCAAGGUGAGAGAUACGGAGGUAGAGCACUGAAUGUCCUAGGGGGUAUUGCACCUACCGAAGACUAUCAAACUCCGAAUGCCGUCAUCUUAUACUUGGGAGUCAGACUGUGGGUGAUAAGAUUCAUAGUCGAAAGGGCAACAGCCCAGAUCGUCAGCUAAGGUCCCUAAAUGUAAGUUAAGUGGUAAAGGAUGUGGGAUUGCACAGACAACCAGGAUGUUGGCUUAGAAGCAGCCACUCAUUCAAAGAGUGCGUAAUAGCUCACUGGUCGAGUGAUCCUGCGCCGAAGAUUUCCGGGGCUAAAACUUACUACCGAAGCUACGGCAUCAGUAAUGAUGGGUAGGGGAGCUUCCCAUACGGGUUGAAGCAUGACCGUAAGGACAUGUGGACAGUAUGGGAGUGAGAAUGUUGGCAUGAGUAGCGAGAUGUGGGUGAGAAUCCCACAGGCCGUAAACCCAAGGUGUCCAGGGGAAGGUUCGUCCGCCCUGGGUUAGUCGGGACCUAAGCUGAGGCCGAAAGGCGUAGGUGAUGGACAACAGGUUGAUAUUCCUGUACUACCGAUAACCGUUUGAGAGA
rnacentral:rRNA from 1 species